GAUGAAGAACGUAGCGAAAUGCGAUAAGUAAUGUGAAUUGCAGAAUUCAGUGAAUCAUCGAAUCUUUGAACGCACAUUGCGCCCGCCAGUAUUCUGGCGGGCAUGCCUGUUCGAGCGUCAUUUCAACCAUCAAGCCCUGCUUGCGUUGGGGUCCUGCGGCUGCCCGCAGGCCCUGAAAACCAGUGGCGGGCUCGCUAGUCACACCGAGCGCAGUAAUACAUCUCGCUUUGGGCGUGCGGCGGGUUCUUGCCGUUAAACACCCCCUUUUUACCAAAGUUGACCUCGGAUCAGGUAGGAAUACCCGCUGAACUUAAGCAUAUCAAUAAGCGGAGGA
rnacentral:misc_RNA from 1 species